rnacentral:lncRNA from 1 species
UUCUGUUUCUGCUUCUGGCUCAAAGUUCUUUCUACAACAGAUGAGCUCAACCAACAAAAUGCCGAAGCUGUAAACAUCUACUUUGCCAGAAAUGGGCAUAUUCCUAAACCAUUCUGGCGCUAAAUAACCUCUGGUUCCUCUGACCCCAGUGGUGGUUCGUGUUUGGUUUGCCAUCAAGAGCUUAGCUAAUCCGAAGUCUGAUAUUUUUGCAGCGAGAUAGCCAUCAAGAAGAAUAUUUUGUGGCUUGAUGUCGCAGUGGAUUAUAUGCCUGGUGCAAUCGUCAUGCAAGUAAGCGAGGCCCCGCGCAACACCACAGGCAAUUUCUAUUCUUUUGUACCAGCUGGGCCUUGAAGAGCCAAAAAGAAAAUCUGCCAAACUGCCGUUGCUCAUGAAUUCAUACACCAGUAAUCGGUGUUGACCCUCAUUGCAGAAUCCAAGCAACUGCACUAAGUUCUUGUGGUUAGUUUGGCCAAUUGCACUCACUUCUCUUUCAAACUCCUUUUCACUUUCUCCGGUCCUUGUCGCCAACAUUUUUACUGCCACAAAGUUUGUAUCCUCAGAUCCGAGAACACCUUUGUACACUAUUCCAAAGGAACCCCUACCUAGUUCUUCCUUGAAUCCAUUUGUUGCUUCUUGAAGCUCCUGAUAAUUGAAAGUCCGCAUGUGCGUGGUUUGGUUGAUCUGGACUGGUCGUGAAAACUUUGAAUCCCUAGAUCGGAAGCUUUUAUAAAUUAAGUAGCUAAUGAGUAGUAAAAGCAAGUUAAAAAACACAGAACUACUCAACAGCACUGAUCCGAUGAUCACCAGAGUUGAGUUCUUAUUCUUCUUCUGGCUGUUUCCUGCAGGUGUCAAAGUCGAGUUUUUUAUCCGGACCUUGAUCAGAGCUUUUAAAUCCAAGCUAGGAUCCAUCUUACCAUUUAUAAGAGGGGUGCUCUUUUUGU